UUAACUAAAAUAUGUAUUGAGUUGGAACAUUUGCCUACGUUUGCCGCUAGGGGCACUGUUCCAACUCUAUACAAAUUCGAGUUA
rfam:Bombyx mori DNA, contig: Bm_scaf105_contig36688, strain: p50T/Dazao, build 2, whole genome shotgun sequence.